rnacentral:rRNA from 1 species
UACGUAGGGUGCGAGCGUUAAUCGGAAUUACUGGGCGUAAAGUGUGCGCAGGUGGCCGCGCAAGUCGAGUGUGAAAUCCCCGGGCUUAACUUGGGAAUUGCGCUCGAAACUACGUGGCUCGAGUAUGGCAGAGGAAGGUGGAAUUCCACGUGUAGCGGUGAAGUGCGUAGAGAUGUGGAGGAACACCGAUGGCGAAGGCAGCCUUCUGGGCCAAUACUGACGCUCAUGCACGAAAGCGUGGGGAGCAAACAGG